UACGAUUUUUAAUCAUAAACACAUCACUGAAGAUAUAAUCAGGGCACAUAUUUACACCUGGCCUUAAAUGCACACUGAACAGAAAUUGCCAUAUGUUUUAUCACAAAUGCAUACCUCAGAAAGUCAGUGCAAAUUAGGCGUAAUUUUACUUUAUGAAAGUGUCAUAAUCGGAUGGAGAGUUAACAAAACAGUGCCGAUAUUUUACAUUUAUAGAUCAUACUUACAUCAUAAACAUACUGUAUCUCAAAAAGUCAGUGUUUUGUAAAAGAUAAAAAUCACAACUGGAUUCUCCGAAACAAACUAAUAGUUUUAACCCUUGAAUGUACGCUAUAGGCUAGCUGUAUCAAUUGACAACGCAGUAGGCUAUUAUUAUCUCAGAUAAAAAGAAAAUAAUAAUACUUGUAUUUAUGUCAUAAAUGAAACAAAAGUGAGCAUUCAUGACGUUUUUUUCUUAGUUUAAUUCCAUCAUUGAGGGUCAGUCUCCCCCUGAACACGGUUCUUGAUGGACAGUUCCAGCUGAUGAAGUUGAAAAGGCGAAUCAACCUGUUCCACAUCAGAUCUGCUCUCGGCUCCGAGCAUGAUCCACACCGGCCGGCGUGCCCCAGAUCUCUCUCCGGGAAUAACAAACACAUGUGAGGAACGCGCUGGGAAUGGUCAGGUCAGGAGCCGAGGGUCUGGUCUGAUGGUGAGGAUCGAGCCGAGCACCCAUGCGCCUCAGCGGACUGAUGCGAAUUGCUGAAAUGCAGUCUUUCAUCUCACCAGUGACUAAGGCUAUACUUGUAGCUCUGUUUAUUUUUGCCAUUUUGCUCAUCCUCUAUGUGAUACUGUGGUAUAUAUGCAGAGACGUGGACUGUGAUCACGGCAUUUGAUUUUGGAGACCGAAGCUGCGGAUCCGCGGAGAAGUCAGGGUGACCCCGUUUUGCGCACGGGUUGUGAUACUGACGGGCUUUGAGAUGGUCAGACAGCGGAUGGAUCUGGAGUUCAUGUCAUAAUGGCAGCUGUUAUGCUGGUUCCUGAACAUCGAACUGAAGACAGGCUUGAGACAAAUUUCACCGCUAAGUAUCUAGGCCACUUUCUGCUGACCCGCCUUCUGCUGGACAGCAUGGUGCAUUCUGGGAAGAAUGGCUCAUGCUCGAGGGUCAUCAGCGUCUCAUCCUCCGGACACUUCGCCGCUGACGCCCGUAUGAAGGAUCUUCUCAGCAUACUCCAGACGAUCUGAAGCAGUCUCUGGAUGUGACAUGUCUGAAGGAGAUGAAGAUCUUCAGGCUGGACUCAGAGCUCCUUCACUGAAGGAUGAUCGACUCAGAUCUCACACCGCAGAACUGUGAGGAGUCACGUCAUUCAUGGUUCUUCUGUUGGAGAAUCACUGUGAAGCUUCUUCUCCAGCUAAAUCUGCUGCUCAGUCCUGAUGUGUAAGUGCUGCUGUGUUUCUCUGGGCUCCUGAUCUGUUAUAUCUCCACAUGACCGACUCGUUCCAUUAUAUCAUGCUCUCAUUCUCUGUUUGUUAUCUCAAAUAAACUAUACGCUUGUCUUCGUAAUCAUUCAUAAAAAAGAAGAAACUUGUGUUCCCCAGAUAACUGCAAACUUUCCUAAGACAAGAUAAUGUCUAGAAUAAUGUUUAUGGAACUCUUUAAAUAUACGUUCUCUUAGCGUUGGGAGGAAACAUUCAUAGAACGUUAUCAGAGUGUGUUUAUGAUGUUAUAAGUACGUUUUAUGUUCGAUAUCAUUCAUCAGUAACACUGCGACAUUCUUGUAAAAAUAUCAGAAUGAGUUGUAAGUAUUUUUUAAAACAUGCAAAUCAUUUGUAUGCAACCUAUUGUUUUAAAUGAUGCACAUGUUUAAACUGAUAACUUCUACACUUUUAAGUGUACCUGUUUGCACUUGUUUACUCUCUAAUUAAUGAACAUGAGCAAACAGACAUUUAUUUCCCUAUUUGUGAUUAAUAUGAAUUUAUACUUGGAUAUGAAAAUAAGGCACUAUCUUUUUUUUUUUUACAUUAGAGCAGACACAUGCUUAUAUAUUUUGCCUGUGACAAACACAUGCUCUUUUAAAAGUUAUGCGAAGUAAUUAAAUGAAGGGUAGAUUUGAGUGUUUUCUUCCCCUUGUCACUAGUCUGUGAACCACUGCUCUAAUAGCAAGCUAAUAAUGCGUAUAUAACUACAUCAACUGUGUUUAAAUACUGAGAGAACAUUCAAAUAUCACACUCUGAUGAUGUUUUCAUAAUGAUAGAACAUAACAAUCCUCAAACAUUUGCAUAGACACACAGAAAUGAGUGUUUAAAACAUUGAGAGAACAUUUAAAUACAACAUUUUCACAACGUAUUCUCAAUGAUAGAGUGGCAUGUUCCUCUAAUGCUUGCAAAACCAAAAAGCAACGUUCUUAAUGCAAAUGGACAUUUUCACAUAAUUGUUUUUUUUUUUUUUUAUGUUUUCACAACUUGGUUAAUGUUGUUGGCUGAUAGUCUUUUGUUCACUGGGUUUUAACUGACUCUCAUAAUGAUUACUGUAGUGUUUUACUGUGGUGAAUCACUGUACUGCACAUCACUCUUGUGAACCGCAGUAUGAUCAAACACACCAACAUUCAAUCAAUAAUUACAUUAAUUAACACUGGUAACUAAGUUAUCAAUCCUUUCACCAAGUGUCAUGAAUGCAGUUUCUCACGAUGAAAUGAAGAUGCGUCUGAUUUACUGUACAGUCUGAGAGAUUCAUUCACAGUGCUUCAGUUCAUGAACACAUCAUAUUAUCACGUUCAGAACUCAUUUCACCUUCACAUUUAGAGAAAGAAAGCUAGGAUGUCCUCUGAAUCACAUCAGUGAAUAUAACACUGUAAAAGAGCGACAGAGAUGGAUUUACAGAUGAUUCCCUCUCAAACAUGAUGUCUGAACAAAUGCUUCAUUUCAUUCAAAAGACUAAAAUACAGAAGCAUAACUCAGUAUAUGAUGAGCAAAUAUUUGUAUUCCUUCACACUCAUGUCUAACAUGUUCACCAAAUGCAAAAUGCUACAAAACUUUAAAGGAAUAAUUUAGUCCCACAAACAGGUUUCUCCCGUGUCUCACCGUCAACGUUUCUCUGGAAAUCUAAGAAACUGAAAGAAAGCAGCUGAAUCUUGGAACUAGGACUUUUGAAUUGACCUAAAUCUGCAUCCUGUGUCGUCUGGGGUUUGUUUCUGAACUCAUGCUGUAAUUCAGGUCUGCUGUCUGAUAUUAAUUACUAUGUGUGUUAUUAAUAUUCUGGACUCUGAUGUCAGUGUCGUGUGUGUUGUUCACACAGUUCAUUUCUUCAGGAUGAAGUGCUGAUCACAGAUGACGGUCGGUUCAUCUUCAUGUUUCAGAAGCUGUUAAAACAAUUUGCACUGUUAAAUGAGAGAUGUGCUACAUGCUUCUAUGAUCUUGCAUAUGAAAUGCACUUUAUCAAGUAUCAUUUUCAGUGCAGGCGACUGUGACACUGCACAGGUAAAUCUCACAAUAAAAUAAAAAUAAAUAAAAAUACAAAUAUUUAG